rnacentral:lncRNA from 1 species
AGUUUUAGAACUUGCUUUUAAGAAAAAGUUCCCUGAGCUUGCUUUAUCCUUUUCCUAUUGAGUGAUGCUAAUUAAUCUUUUACACCGGUUCAUGUUUUCACAAGUUUUUUCCCCUCUAUCAGUGCUCCUCCUAAUUCUUGUGCUGUCUUGAGUUUCUAUUCAACUUAUGAGUGCUUGAUUUCUUUAUGUUGUAUCUGCAGAUAUCUGCAUUUGAGGGUGCUCCAGUGGAGUUUGAUCAGAGUUCAGUUCCCGUACGGAAGGACAGGACCAUUGGGCCAGCAGAAGAGCUAGCUUUUGAAACUUGUUAAAGAGCAACAAGGGUAGUAGUCUCGUUCAUAGAUGUAUUGUUUCCUGUGAUAAAUGUUUGAUAUUUUCGUACUCAAAUAAGAAAGGUACCAUGCUCAAACACACAAUUGUUUUCCAGCUAUUUACAGGCUGGAAAUUAGGACUUUUGAAAUGAUAAUGGACUAUUUUUUACCUGCUGUUUAAUUGACCAAUUUUAUCAUUCAGAUUCAUUUGGUCAUUAGUGCAUGGUGAGAAUCACGUCGAGAUAUUAGCUAUGUUAUGAGGAAAUUUAAUUGAGGUUACCAAAUCCCCGCCUUUG